rnacentral:rRNA from 1 species
GACGAACGCUGGCGGCGUGCUUAACACAUGCAAGUCGAACGGAAAGGCCCUGCUUGUGUGGGGUGCUCGAGUGGCGAACGGGUGAGUAACACGUGAGUAACCUGCCCUUGACUUUGGGAUAACUUCAGGAAACUGGGGCUAAUACCGGAUAGGAGCUCCUGCUGCAUGGGGGGGGUUGGAAAGUUUCGGCGGUUGGGGAUGGACUCGCGGCUUAUCAGCUUGUUGGUGGGGUAGUGGCUUACCAAGGCUUUGACGGGUAGCCGGCCUGAGAGGGUGACCGGCCACAUUGGGACUGAGAUACGGCCCAGACUCCUACGGGAGGCAGCAGUGGGGAAUAUUGCACAAUGGGCGGAAGCCUGAUGCAGCAACGCCGCGUGCGGGAUGACGGCCUUCGGGUUGUAAACCGCUUUCGCCUGUGACGAAGCGUGAGUGACGGUACUGGGUAAAGAAGCACCGGCUAACUACGUG